rnacentral:rRNA from 1 species
CCUACGGGUGGCAGCAGUGAGGAAUAUUGGUCAAUGGGCGCAAGCCUGAACCAGCCAAGUCGCGUGAGGGAUGACGGUCCUAUGGGUUUUAAACCUCUUUUGUCGGGGAGCAAGGCCCGCCACGUGUGGCGGGCAGGAGAGUACCCGAAGAAAAAGCAUCGGCUAACUCCGUGCCAGCAGCCGCGGUAAUACGGAGGAUGCGAGCGUUAUCCGGAUUUAUUGGGUUUAAAGGGUGCGUAGGCGGAAGGUUAAGUCAGCGGUAAAAUGUCGGUGCUCAACACCGGCCGGCCGUUGAAACUGGUCUUCUUGAGUGAGCGAGAAGUAUGCGGAAUGCGUGGUGUAGCGGUGAAAUGCAUAGAUAUCACGCAGAACUCCGAUUGCGAAGGCAGCAUACCGGCGCUCAACUGACGCUGAGGCACGAAAGCGUGGGGAUCGAACAGGAUUAGAUACCCGAGUAGUC